rnacentral:rRNA from 1 species
GACGAACGCUGGCGGCGUGCUUAACACAUGCAAGUCGAACGGAAAGGCCCUGCUUUUGUGGGGUGCUCGAGUGGCGAACGGGUGAGUAACACGUGAGUAACCUGCCCUUGACUUUGGGAUAACUUCAGGAAACUGGGGCUAAUACCGGAUAGGAGCUCCUGCUGCAUGGUGGGGGUUGGAAAGUUUCGGCGGUUGGGGAUGGACUCGCGGCUUAUCAGCUUGUUGGUGGGGUAGUGGCUUACCAAGGCUUUGACGGGUAGCCGGCCUGAGAGGGUGACCGGCCACAUUGGGACUGAGAUACGGACCAGACUCGUACGGGAGGCAGCAGUGGGGAAUAUUGCACAAUGGGGGGAAGCCUGAUGCAGCAACGCCGCGUGCGGGAUGACGGCCUUCGGGUUGUAAACCGCUUUCGCCUGUGACGAAGCGUGAGUGACGGUAAUGGGUAAAGAAGCACCGGCUAACUACGUG